CUAUAUGGAUAGGCUAGAUUUUAAUAAUAAUCGCCUAAAUACAGAACUAGGCCGAGUAUAGUGCUAUCAUUGAUGGCAAUCUUUUACUCUUGAAAUAUAUAUAUGACUUGAAGAAGUUCAACGACUAACUGGUGAGUAAUACUAACAAUAAGGUAAAUAAUAAAUAAAAUGUCAAUACGACGUGAGUC
rnacentral:rRNA from 1 species